rnacentral:rRNA from 1 species
UGAUCCUGGCUCAGGAUGAACGCUGACGGCGUGCUUAACACAUGCAAGUCGAACGGAACUACUUUAAUGAGAUUCUUCGGAAGGAUUUGAUUUAGUUUAGUGGCGGACGGGUGAGUAACGCGUGGGUAACCUGCCUCAUACAGGGGGAUAACAGUUGGAAACGGCUGUUAAUACCGCAUAAGCGCACAGUACCGCAUGGUACCGUGUGAAAAACUCCGGUGGUAUGAGAUGGACCCGCGUCUGAUUAGCUGGG